UACGGGGGGGGCGAGCGUUGUUCGGAAUUAUUGGGCGUAAAGGGCGCGUAGGCGGUGUGGUAAGUCUGAUGUGAAAAACUCCAGGCUCAACUUGGAGAUUGCAUCAGAAACUGCCGUGCUAGAGUGUGGGAGAGGAGAGUGGAAUUCCUGGUGUAGCGGUGAAAUGCGUAGAUAUCAGGAGGAACACCGGUGGCGAAGGCGGCUCUCUGGACCACAACU
rnacentral:rRNA from 1 species